rnacentral:rRNA from 1 species
ACGGGUGAGUAAUGUCUGGGGAUCUGCCCGAUAGAGGGGGAUAACCACUGGGAACGGUGGCUAAUACCGCAUAACGUCGCAAGACCAAAGAGGGGGACCUUCGGGCCUCUCACUAUCGGAUGAACCCAGAUGGGAUUAGCUAGUAGGCGGGGUAAUGGCCCACCUAGGCGACGAUCCCUAGCUGGUCUGAGAGGAUGACCAGCCACACUGGAACUGAGACACGGUCCAGACUCCUACGGGAGGCAGCAGUGGGGAAUAUUGCACAAUGGGCGCAAGCCUGAUGCAGCCAUGCCGCGUGUAUGAAGAAGGCCUUCGGGUUGUAAAGUACUUUCAGCGGGGAGGAAGGCAGUGAGGUUAAUAACCUUACUGAUUGACGUUACCCGCAGAAGAAGCACCGGCUAACUCCGUGCCAGCAGCCGCGGUAAUACGGAGGGUGCAAGCGUUAAUCGGAAUUACUGGGCGUAAAGCGCACGCAGGCGGUCUGUUAAGUCAGAUGUGAAAUCCCCGGGCUUAACCUGGGAACUGCAUUUGAAACUGGCAGGCUUGAGUCUCGUAGAGGGGGGUAGAAUUCCAGGUGUAGC